rnacentral:rRNA from 1 species
CCUACGGGGGGCAGCAGUGGGGAAUAUUGGACAAUGGGGGCAACCCUGAUCCAGCCAUGCCGCGUGUGUGAAGAAGGCCCUCGGGUUGUAAAGCACUUUCAGUGAGGAAGAACGCCUGGUGGUUAAUACCCAUCAGGAAAGACAUCACUCACAGAAGAAGCACCGGCUAACUCCGUGCCAGCAGCCGCGGUAAUACGGAGGGUGCGAGCGUUAAUCGGAAUUACUGGGCGUAAAGCGCGCGUAGGUGGCUUGAUAAGCCGGUUGUGAAAGCCCCGGGCUCAACCUGGGAACGGCAUCCGGAACUGUCAAGCUAGAGUGCAGGAGAGGAAGGUAGAAUUCCCGGUGUAGCGGUGAAAUGCGUAGAGAUCGGGAGGAAUACCAGAGGCGAAGGCGGCCUUCUGGACUGACACUGACACUGAGGUGCGAAAGCGUGGGUAGCAAACAGGAUUAGAUACCCCAGUAGUC